rfam:Triticum aestivum genome assembly, contig: Triticum_aestivum_CS42_TGACv1_scaffold_374308_5AL
GUGAUACUCCCUCCGUCCGAAAAAAUUUGUCCCUCACAUGAAUGUAUCUAGCAUCAAGUUAAUGCUAGAUACGUCUAUUUGAGAGAUAAGCUUAGGACAAGUUUUUUUCGGACGAAGGGAGUAGUAG